GAAAUGUGAUAAGUAAUGUGAAUUGCAGAAUUCAGUGAAUCAUCAAAUCUUUGAACGCACCUUGCGCUCUCUGGUAUUCCGGAGAGCAUGUCUGUUUGAGUGUCAUGAACUCUUCAACCCGCCCUUUUCUUUAUGAAUAGGUGUCGGUGUUUGGAUUCUGAGCCCCUUGCUACUCACGUAGCUGGCUCGUAAGACAUUAGCAUUUCAACUUUCGUAAUCGGAUUGACUUGGCGUAAUAGACUAUUCGCUGAGGACACUCUUUUUCUUUAUUGAAAAGAGUGGCCGAGAUAAGAAAUAACGAAGAGCUUCCAACCCCUCUCUAGUCAUUAAAAACUUUUUAAGAUUAGACCUCAAAUCAGGCAGGAUUACCCGCUGAACUUAA
rnacentral:misc_RNA from 1 species